rnacentral:lncRNA from 1 species
UUUGUGAUGACUCCUUCCCCGGUGGCAACUGUGAUGACAUAGGAUACAAUGGCAGAUUUACGCUGCCAUGAUUGGAGUCAUUUCAUUUGUAAGAGAGCGAGAAAGCACAGGGUUUAUCACCUUGAACAAGAGAAUACAAUGUUCGAUUGAAGAAUGAAUUAUAGGCUCAGAUAUACAGAUUUCAUCCAUUAGUCAAGAACUAAUUGACCUCGCUAUGGUUGCAUAUCACUGGUUGAACGAGCAAUAGAGAAGACGACUACUGUUGCCCGACCUUCCAGGUUGUCACAC